UUGGUUUUUGACAGUUGAACUUGAAGACGGUUCGGUUGUGUGGUUUGGAUUUAAUUUUUCUUUAUAAUUUACUUUUUCUCGUGUGAAUCAAAGUACUUAAUUUGGAGAUUAACAACAUAACAAAUCAUUGAAGCACCUGAGCAGAGUGAGAGGAGAGGAGAACAGCACAGAGAGCGAAGUGAGUUCUGAGCGGUUGCAUGGAGGAGGAUUGUCAUUUGGUUGGUGUUGCUAGAGUGAGAGAAGAGAUGGAGCGGACGCUGCAUUAUCAGGACAUGGAGGGGAGAGAGAGAGAGAGACAGACAACGCCAAAGGAUGGCCUGGUCAAAUGGAACAGUGGGACGGAGAAGAAAGAUAGAAGACGCAGCAAAGAAGAUACAGUUUUACAACAUAGUGGGACUCUAGUGUAAGAGUUUAUAUAAAGUGAAAACUACAAACAUUGACAUUGAAAUGUGCAUAAAAGUGAAUUAUUGAUGUGAAGUGAUAGAUAGUGAAAGGACUCGAAUUUACUUUCAUUUUCAAAAGACGUUGAAUUGUUUCAUAUUUUGUUUGUGAUGUUGUUGAUAUUGUGCAUGUUUUGCUGUAUAUUAUAAAUGCCCAUGGGGGUGGGUAUCCUAGUGGGGUAUUUUCAGGCAUCGCGGAGGCAGCUGGACGGACGGACGGACUGCGCAGAACUUCAAUCAAGGUAAAAGUCAGCUCUCGACCGAUUCUAACAGUUCAUUCUAGUUCUUUUUCUAAAUUCUUAUUUCUUUAUUUAUUCUAAUUUUUUCUUAUUUAUUCUUUAUAAUUCUUAUUUCUUUUUCUUUAAGUUCUAUUCAGAAUUCAUUUUUUCCUGAUCUGAAUCAAUUUCAGUGAGUUGAUAUUAAUUCACUAAAAUAGGAGAAAAUUAUUAACUUUGAAUUUCAAUUUUUAAUCUAUUUAAAUUCUAAAUUUUAUUCUUUUCUUGAAGAAGAAAUUAAUGUCUUGUUGAACUGUUAGAUCGGUCCUGGGCGACUUGUGUGGAAUUGGUAAUUGCAUGUCUGGACCAUCACCCCCCAAGUUUUUUCUCAGCUUUUAUACUUUUGAAUUUGUUUCUAUUUUCAGUUGCUUUGGAGUUUUUCUUUAGUUGUUUCCCUUUAUUUAUUUAUUUUUUAACUUUCCCCUGCUCUUUAUUUUUUUCAGUUUCUUUUUUCAGUUGCUUUGGAGGCGAACCUUCAGUUCAAAUUCAAUAUCGAAGUAUAUGUCGAUAAGGGAUGUUUUGUUUAGUUUGUUUCUUUUGAUUUCUUCAAAACUGUCCCCGAUUUUAUUUCAGUUUUUUAUAUUCAGUUUGGGAUUUUUCUUCAGUUGUUCCUUUCAAUUUUUUGUAAACUAUCUACAUCUACUUGGAAUUUUUCAUAUUUAUUGUAAUAAAUUAGAUUAGAUUGUAAAUUUCUGGGAUGCUGCCACACUGUUUGCUUUUUUUCAGGAGGAAAUCGUCGUCAUCAUUAAUUUGUUUACUGUUUUUGUCUUUGUUGUGUGUUGUUGCAUCUCUCAAAAUAUUGUAAUUUUUUCAAUUGUAAUAAGUUUAUACAUUGUAAAGUGUAAUUUCAUGUACUCCCUUCCUUCUCAUUGCAGCACCAUCCAUUCAUAUUUCUAACUUCGUCAUUUCAUCUCCUCUUUUUUCUCAAUUUCAUUUCCAACUUCUUGGCUUCCCGAUGAUUCAAACCCCACCUUGACCUGUAGGUCCACUCAUCUCUCAUCAUUAUUCAUUCUAUUACCCACCCACGUACAAGCCUAGAGCUCAUGUGGGCAUUAUCCAAUUAAUUUCUCUCAAAAACGUUCAUUUUCAAUUCCUCAAUAUUCUUUUACUAUUUCUGACCACCUUUCGUAUAAAAUGAUCUUUCCCUCACUUUAGCUGCAUUUACACCAAAGUUAUUAACAAAAUGUUGAUAACUUAAUCCUUAUAGAUUCUAAUAGAUUGAACGGAACUUGACAAACACAUGAAUGUUCAUCAUGUGUAUAUGAUAAGUUAUGUUCAAUCUAAUUUAAUCUAUAAAGAUUAUUAACUUUGGUGUAAACACAGCUUUUAUGAAUUCAUUACUCUCAAAUUGUAAACCCCUAAAUCUGAAUUAAUAUCAAAAUUAAGUUCCCAAUCUUCAGUGUAACCUGAAUCUUCGUCUAUUUGAAGAGCCGUCUCUGCUAAGAAUAAUUUUAAUCUCGCUUAAUAAUUAAAAUCCCACUUAAUAAUAAUUAAAAUGCCAUUCAAUAAUAUAAUAAUCCCGUUUGAAACUAGGUCCACUUACCUCUCAUCAUCAUUUUCUCUAUUUUACCCACACACAAGUCUGUAACUUAUGUGGGAAUCAUAUUCUGCUUGAAAAUCGAUUUCAAAAUCUAAAUUUUGAUCCAUUUUUAAACAUAAAUUUACACAUUCCUUUCACCCUACCACAUUGUCAUUAAUUUUACUCCCAUUGUAGUAAUCACCUGAAAUCAAUCGUUAGUUUCUUUAUAAUUAUUAUUUAACGAGAAUCCCAAUUAAAUGC